UGCGUGAAGCUGGAAUCGCUAGUAAUCGCGGAUCAGCAUGCCGCGGUGAAUACGUUCCCGGGCCUUGUACACACCGCCCGUCACACCACGAGAGUUUGUAACACCCGAAGUCGGUGAGGUAACCUUUUAGGAGCCAGCCGCCGAAGGUGGGACAGAUGAUUGGGGUGAAGUCGUAACAAGGUAGCCGUAUCGGAAGGUGCGGCUGGAUCACCUCCUUUCUAAGGA
rnacentral:rRNA from 1 species